rnacentral:rRNA from 1 species
CCCUGGUGGCGAGUGGCGAACGGGUGAGUAAUACAUCGGAACGUGCCCAGUCGUGGGGGAUAACGUAGCGAAAGUUACGCUAAUACCGCAUACGAUCUAUGGAUGAAAGCGGGGGACCGUAAGGCCUCGCGCGAUUGGAGCGGCCGAUGUCAGAUUAGGUAGUUGGUGGGGUAAAGGCCCACCAAGCCGACGAUCUGUAGCUGGUCUGAGAGGACGACCAGCCACACUGGGACUGAGACACGGCCCAGACUCCUACGGGAGGCAGCAGUGGGGAAUUUUGGACAAUGGGCGCAAGCCUGAUCCAGCCAUUCCGCGUGCAGGACGAAGGCCUUCGGGUUGUAAACUGCUUUUGUACGGAACGAAAAGGUCCUGGUUAAUACCCGGGGCUCAUGACGGUACCGUAAGAAUAAGCACCGGCUAACUACGUGCCAGCAGCCGCGGUAAUACGUAGGGUGCAAGCGUUAAUCGGAAUUACUGGGCGUAAAGCGUGCG